AACGCCAUUGGCUGCUCGCUCAUUUUAAUCGCUGUCAAAACGCAUCAUAUGGCCACCGCUUUAACUAACUCUUCAACUCCAUUAGGAAAAGUAACUCAAACCCACGUUCAAUUAAUGUGGAUGUGAAACGGCAGUCGGACACUACACUAAACAGGCUACAGGAGACCCCGAAACUAACAGCAAACGGUUGGGAAUAAGCUGAAUUCCACAUUUCACCGGAACUCCACUGGUUUGUGAGGCACCUGCUUCAAGCGGACUAGAGAGCGCAGAAAGUUCAUGCUUUUUCUCUGCUAGCUGAGUACUUCUAAGCCACUUGAAUGUAUAGCAUGAUGAUGGAAACGGACCUGCAUUCCCCGGGACCCCAGACCAACACGAAUCCGGGGCAAACGGGUCCAAAUUCGGGGAGCAAAGCCAACCAAGACCGCGUAAAAAGACCCAUGAACGCUUUCAUGGUCUGGUCCCGGGGCCAGCGCAGAAAAAUGGCCCAGGAGAACCCCAAAAUGCACAACUCUGAAAUUAGCAAAAGACUCGGUGCCGAGUGGAAGGUGAUGUCAGAGGCUGAAAAGCGGCCCUUUAUUGAUGAGGCGAAGCGAUUGCGAGCAAUGCACAUGAAGGAGCAUCCGGAUUACAAAUACAGACCGAGGCGCAAAACCAAGACCCUGCUUAAAAAGGACAAGUAUUCGUUGGCUGGCGGCUUGCUUGGCGGUGCGGGUGCUGGGGUUGGGAUGAGUCCUGCAGGGGUCGGCCAGAGAUUGGAGAGUCCUGGGGGUCACGGAGGCUCAGCCGGCGCUGGCUAUGCACACAUGAACGGCUGGGCGAACGGCACUUACUCCGGUCAGGUGGCCGCCGCGGCAGCAGCGGCUGCGAUGAUGCAGGAGGCACAGCUUGCUUACAGCCAGCACCCAGGUAGUGGGUCUCACCAUCACCACGCUCAUCACCAUCACCCGCACAACCCUCAGCCCAUGCACCGCUACGAUAUGACUGCUCUUCAGUACAGCCCCAUCUCAAACUCCCAGAGCUACAUGAGCGCCUCUCCGUCUGGCUACGGUGGGAUAUCGUACACGCAGCAUCAGAACUCCAGCGUCGCUUCUUCUGCAGCCAUCGGAACGCUGAGCUCGCUCGUCAAGUCCGAACCCAAUAUAAGCCCUCCGGUUACCACACACUCACGAGGCCCCUGCCCCGGAGACUUGAGAGAGAUGAUUAGUAUGUAUUUACCGACCGGUGAGUCCGGGGAUCCGUCAGUGCAGAGCAGACUGCACGCCUUACCGCAGCACUAUCAGAGCACAACCGCCGGAGUAAACGGAACUGUCCCAUUGACGCAUAUUUGAAACAGCUGAUGGAAAGUGACGGAGAGGUCUGUGUAAGGAUGAUUGUGAGAGACUCUGCUGGAAUUUGGCAGGCCCGCAGCUUGGAGAGGUGCCCCACGCUGUGACUCCCAUUCAGCGGUCCAGCGCGCUGUGAGGUUGGGAAGUUUCACUGAGCCGUGCACUCAAUGGCUCCACAAAGCUGAUUACAAGCCCCAGUGAAUUCCUGAAGAGACCGGGCAGCCACGCAGGUGUGCGGGAAACCGGGGCAACCCUUCAGAGUUAUAUGACAGAGCAAGACAACCCGGGAGCCCACACAAAAAGCAAAGCGUCCCGGGAAGCGGCCAGGGAUCUGGUGGGAAAAGAACACCUCAAAUGCCCUCUCCCUUGCGUGAAAAGGGAAGGGAGGAGAAACUUUCCGAAGGCUUAUUAAAACGAUGCCCAGUCUCCCCAAGACAGUGAACUAAAAUGCCUGUAUACUGUAUAUUUUUGAGAGGGCCAACUCCCCGGCGUGCUGUAUUUUAGAGUGCCCAUUUAGCCGGGCCCCCUGCUCUCCUGACAGCUGAUGGAAAAGGCAGUGUAACAAUGAGCCCCCACCGUGCCUCUCUGCCUGCCCCCAACCACCAGGGGAAGAGGAAGCAGCAGCAGCCGUGCGACACAUUAUUCUGUCCCCCCGGAACCUGCAGCAAGGCCAAGCCCCCCCUCUGGUUUCCCUCGGACCUCUAAGUGCCAAGCCAGGAACUGAGUGACAUUUCCAGAGUCCUGACCUUUGUUUUUCCAUUGACUGGGAAGACGUUUGAAGGAGGUACGGUGCACGCUGGUAGACUCACGGCAAACGGCACACAUGAUUUUAGAGCAGCUCACACAAAAGGAGAACCAAGCCCUAUACUGUCACAGAGCUUCUGUUCUCAUAAACUGUGAGAGAAACGCUAUAUUUGGUUUACAUUCUAUUUUACUUCACCAAAUCUGGCAUGGUAAACUAAGUAGACUAAUGAAAGGUAACCUCAGUGCACUUUGACUAAACUUUAAGAGCAGAGUUUAAUCUUCUCAAAAAUGACCACUGGAGACCAAAUCAUGGCACAUUUUGUGUUUCUGAAAAGCUCCCCUCAAAAGGAAGUCAGAUUAUUGUACCAUUUAGUGUUACAUAGAAACGUCUACCGCUAAAUUAAUUCAGGAGGCAUGUAGGUUUGAAGUAUGGGUUCACAUAGGACUACAUUUAAAAGCAAAACAGGAAAAAGGAAAGCCUCAUGCGGAGAAAAUGGCAUAAAAUGGAGGGUACUGCAGUGUUGAUAGGUUGAGUCUUGGGCUUUAUUAAUGAUACAAGCUGCUGGCCAGUACUUUGGUCAAAUCAGACACCUGCUAUGGCUGCCACACUCUAAGAACGGUGACAUCACAGGGAGCAGGACAAGUCAGAUCCGCUGUUAAUCGCUCACCUUAAUUGAGUGCUCUGCUGAGUUCCAAAUUGCUCAGUACAAUCAAGACUCAUUUGAGAGUCCCACCAUGUGCUCUUAGGCCAUGAUGAGAUAUUGCCUUCAUUGCCUGUUGUUUCUGAAUAUUAGCCUUUCUUUCAAUAUGCCCCCUACAUAUUUGACUUUUUUACUCAUACCCUUCAGGUUGCUGUUUCUGCUGGCUGUGGUUUUCUCUCAUUUCCCUGAAUUCCAGGUGGGGGAGGAAGCUAUUGUUUUCGAACAUCCUGGUCCUACUUGUCAUUUGUUCCUCACUAAUUCCAAAAAGUAUGCACCAAAGUAUUCUGGUGGUGCAACUACCCGGGGAGCGGGCCAACCCUGUCAUUUAGCAGUAAGUUUAUCCUGUGGUGGGAUAGAGAAACUGGGGAUAAAGGCAGCAGGCCUAUCCCAUGACUAGGCUGGUGGAGGGGGGUGGAAAGCCUACCCCACAGCUGGGACAGGCCAGGUAAGGAUCACUUACAAGCUGCAGGGUUGGGAGCAUCAUUGUGGCACCGAACUGCCCACAGUAUUUACAACCCCCCAUACACACUUCAACAGUCUCAGGUUCAACCUGCUAGCUGUGAUGGAGCAGAUAAUAUGCCUCCAGAGGAACCAUCUGGAAAACCGAGCCACCACUCUCCUGUUGCUGCCCCAACGUAAAUUCUCAUGCACCUGUCUGUGCACCAGACGCCUUUCUCAGCCUCUCUUUUUUUUUCUCAAUAAUGGCACAUGUUGUCACAUUUUAUGGGGUGAGCUGUGAAAAUGUAACCUUCCUUAAAAUUAGAAGCUCAUUUUCCAGCAACGGGAAAAAUGAUAAAUGCAAUCAAUAAAACAAUA